CCAGUCUGUUGAUUGAAGGCUUCUAUGUGCCCUGUUUUGAACGUUUCUUUUUGCCUGUUUUCUUAUGCAGACUAAAAUGGUUGAUAUCUCUUUGCUCUCUGUUGCGGAAGUCAAUUGGCUGAAUGAUUACCAUUCACAAGUCUGGGAAAAGGUUUCUCCAUUGCUCGAAGGUUCUGCUCGCCAAUGGCUGUGGAACAACACUCGGCUGAUUGCAAAAUCCUGAUUCUUUGCUUUUGUUUGACAUAAUGUAUGAAUGCUGUGUAAUUUAUGGCCAUUGAAUCAGAUGUAGAAAUGAUAUGUACUCUCUACACCAUAAUGCUGAAAUGGGUUUGAACUUAAAA